rnacentral:rRNA from 1 species
UACGUAGGGGGCAAGCGUUGUCCGGAAUCAUUGGGCGUAAAGAGCGUGUAGGCGGCUCGAUAAGUCUGCUGUGAAAGUCCAGGGCUCAACCCUGGAAGGCCGGUGGAAACUGUCGGGCUAGAGUCCGGAAGAGGCGAGUGGAAUUCCCGGUGUAGCGGUGAAAUGCGCAGAUAUCAGGAGGAACACCGAUGGCGAAGGCAGGUCUCUGGGCUGACACUGACGCUCAUGCACGAAAGCGUGGGGGGAGCAAACAGGAU